AGUGAACGCUGGCGGUAGGCCUAACACAUGCAAGUCGAACGGCAGCACAGUAAGAGCUUGCUCUUACGGUUGGCGAGUGGCGGACGGGUGAGGAAUACAUCGGAAUCUACUUUUUCGUGGGGGAUAACGUAGGGAAACUUACGCUAAUACCGCAUACGACCUACGGGUGAAAGCAGGGGAUCUUCGGACCUUUCGCGAUUGAAUGAGCCGAUGUCGGAUUAGCUAGUUGGCGGGGUAAAGGCCCACCAAGGCGACGAUCCGUAGCUGGUCUGAGAGGAUGAUCAGCCACACUGGAACUGAGACACGGUCCAGACUCCUACGGGAGGCAGCAGUGGGGAAUAUUGGACAAUGGGCGCAAGCCUGAUCCAGCCGUACCGCGUGGGUGAAGAAGGCCUUCGGGUUGUAAAGCCCUUUUGUUGGGAAAGAAAAGCAGCAGGUUAAUACCCCGCUGUUCUGACGGUACCCAAAGAAUAAGCACCGGCUAACUUCGUG
rnacentral:rRNA from 1 species